rnacentral:rRNA from 1 species
GAGUUUGAUCGUGGCUCAGGAUUAACGCUAGCGGCAGGCAUAAUACAUGCAAGUUGAACGAGAUAAGUUGUAGCAAUACGGCUUUGAAAGUGGCGCACGGGUGCGUAACACGUAUGCAACCUACCUUUUACAGGGGGAUAGCCUCUCGAAAGAGAGAUUAAUACCCCAUAAUAUAUUUGUUGGGCAUCUAAUGAAUAUUAAAGCUGAGGCGGUAAAAGAUGGGCAUGCGGCUGAUUAGGUAGUUGGUGAGGUAAUGGCUCACCAAGCCGACGAUCAGUAGGGGGUCUGAGAGGAUGUCCCCCCACACUGGUACUGAGACACGGACCAGACUCCUACGGGAGGCAGCAGUAGGGAAUAUUGGACAAUGGGCGCAAGCCUGAUCCAGCCAUGCCGCGUGCAGGAUGAAGGCCCUAUGGGUCGUAAACUGCUUUUGUACGGGAAGAAACCUCACUACGUGUAGUGAGUUGACGGUACCGUGAGAAUAAGGAUCGGCUAACUUCGUGCCAGCCGCC